rnacentral:rRNA from 1 species
GUGUCAGCCGCCGCGGUAAUACAGAGACUGCAAGCGUUGUUCGGAUUCACUGGGCGUAAAGGGUGCGCAGGCGGCCGGGUGUGUCGGGUGUGAAAGCUCGAGGCUUAACCUCGAAACUGCGCCCGAAACUAUCCGGCUAGAGUACUGGAGAGGGAAGCGGAAUUCACGGUGUAGCAGUGAAAUGCGUAGAUAUCGUGAGGAACACCAAUGGCGAAGGCAGCUUCCUGGACAGUUACUGACGCUCAGGCACGAAAGCGUGGGGAGCAAAAGGGAUUAGAUACCCCGGUAGUCC